UUUUCACGGCCUUUCUCUUCAACUCUCUUCUUUUUUCUUUCUUCCCCUUUACUAUUCAGCACCGCCUGGGCCACCCUCCUUCCUCUACUCUUUUUCUUUUUCUUCUCUUCCCUUUUCUUUUUUCUUUCUCUUCUCCUCUUUUCAGUUUGUUUCUUCCGCAACCGUUGACCAACCACUUGCGUCGACCAUUCGCCGCCUCAGUCAGCUUCCUUCCUCUUCUCUUUUUCUUUUUCUUCUCUUCUCUUUUUCUUUUUCUUCUCUUCUCCUCUUCUUCUCUUCUCUCUUUCUUUCCGUCGCCGCUGUCUCUCUGCCGCCCCAGACUGAUAAAGUUGUGGCCUACCAUCUUGGAUGAUUUUCAAAAGGGCUGAUCCUAUUGGCCAUGUACAAUAAGAGCUGCAACAAUGAGGUUGGCGAUGUCAUGUGGAACAGUUCUAUUCAGUUCAUUCAAAUUCCACAUUCCAUCUUCUCAGAGCCAAUUGACAGGAAUAUUUAUGGAUCUUCAUGAUUACAAGGAUUUUGAAGUGAGCCGUCUGCAAGCUCAAGAAAAUGUGGCUUUGAGCAGCCUGAUGGACUUUACAAAGCCUUCUGCAAGUAGGGAUUCAGAAGAAGAUACUAGUGAAUCAGAGGAUAUUUUCGGUGAUAAUAAUUCGUCAUCCCAUUCCAACCAGUCACCUUCAGCAGAUUGUGAAAAUGAAUUUGAUCCCCUUUUGUAAUUAUGAAUACUUUAAAAUAUAUCAUAUUUAUUUUGUGGAUUGUAUUGAAUUUAUCUUUAUUUUUUGGAUUGU